UACGUAGGGUGCGAGCGUUAAUCGGAAUUACUGGGCGUAAAGCGUGCGCAGGCGGUUUGAUAAGUCAGAUGUGAAAGCCCCGGGCUCAACCUGGGAAUGGCAUUUGGGACUGCAAGGCUUGAGUGCGGCAGAGGAGACUGGAAUUCCUGGUGUAGCAGUGAAAUGCGUAGAUAUCAGGAGGAAUACCGAUGGCGAAGGCAGGUCUCUGGGCUGACACUGACGCUCAUGCACGAAAGCGUGGGGAGCGAACAGG
rnacentral:rRNA from 1 species